AUUAGAUACCCUGGUAGUCCACGCAGUAAACGAUGAAUACUAAUUGUUCGGUUCGAUUGAGAGCUGAGUGAUACAGCGAAAGCGUUAAGUAUUCCACCUGGGGAGUACGCCGGCAACGGUGAAACUCAAAGGAAUUGACGGGGGCCCGCACAAGCGGAGGAACAUGUGGUUUAAUUCGAUGAUACGCGAGGAACCUUACCCGGGCUCAAACGACACAGGAAUAAUUUUGAAAGGAGUUAGCCCUACGGGGCCUGUGUCGAGGUGCUGCAUGGUUGUCGUCAGCUCGUGCCGUGAGGUGUCGGCUUAAGUGCCAUAACGAGCGCAACCCCUAUCGUCAGUAGCCAGCAUUAAGGAUGGGCACUCUGGAGAGACUGCCAGGGACAACCUGGAGGAAGGUGGGGAUGACGUCAAAUCAUCAUGCCCCUUAUGACCAGGGCUACACACGUGCUACAAUGGCGUAAACAAAGGGAAGCGACCAUGUGAAUGCGAGCAAAUCCCAAAAAUAACGUCUCAGUUCGGAUUGUAGUCUGCAACUCGACUACAUGAAGCUGGAAUCGCUAGUAAUCGCGAAUCAGAAUGUCGCGGUGAAUACGUUCCCGGGUCUUGUACACACCGCCCGUCACACCAUGUGAGUCGGAUAUGCCCGAAGUCAGUGACCUAACCGAAAGGAAGGAGCUGCCGAAGGUGGAGCCGGUAACUGGGGUGAAGUC
rnacentral:rRNA from 1 species